rnacentral:rRNA from 1 species
AUCGAUGAAGAACGCAGCGAAAUGCGAUAAGUAAUGUGAAUUGCAGAAUUCAGUGAAUCAUCGAAUCUUUGAACGCACAUUGCGCCCAUUAGUAUUCUAGUGGGCAUGCCUGUUCGAGCGUCAUUUCAACCCUUAAGCCUAGCUUAGUGUUGGGAAUCUACUGUAUUGUAGUUCCUGAAAUACAACGGCGGAUCUGUAAUAUCCUCUGAGCGUAGUAAUUUUUUUCUCGCUUUGGUUAGGUGUUGCAGCUCUCAGCCGCUAAACCCCCCAAUUUUAAUGGUUGACCUCGGAUCAGGUAGGAAUACCCGCUGAACUUAAGCAUAUCAAUAAGCGGAGGAAAAGAAACCAACAGGGAUUGCCCUAGUAACGGCGAGUGAAGCGGCAACAGCUCAAAUUUGAAAUCUGGCCCUUGGGUCCGAGUUGUAAUUUGUAGAGGAUGUUUUUGGUGCGGUAUCUUCCGAGUUCCUUGGAACAGGACGCCUUAGAGGGUGAGAGCCCCGUACGGUUGAAUGCCUAGCCUUUGUAAAACUCCUUCGACGAGUCGAGUAGUUUGGGAAUGCUGCUCUAAAUGGGAGGUAAAUUUCUUCUAAAGCUAAAUACUGGCCAGAGACCGAUAGCGCACAAGUAGAGUGAUCGAAAGAUGAAAAGCACUUUGAAAAGAGGGUUAAAUAGCACGUGAAAUUGUUGAAAGGGAAGGAUUUAUGACCAGACUUUUUCUGGGCGGAUCAUCCGGUGUUCUCACCGGUGCACUUCGCUCAGUUUAGGCCAGCAUCGAUUUUCGGUGGGGGAUAAAAGCUUUAGGAAUGUGGCUCCUCCGGGAGUGUUAUAGCCUAUUGUAUAAUACCCUACUGGGGAUCGAGGUACGCGCUUCUGCAAGGAUGCUGGCGUAAUGGUUAUCAAUCACCCGUCUUGAAACACGG